CUACGACGACACGUGCCCCAACGCCUACGACACCGUGAAGCAGGUGCUCAUCGACGCGCACGACUCGGACACCCGCAUCUUCGCCAGCCUCAUCCGCCUCCACUUCCACGACUGCUUUGUCCAGGUAACUACCUUCCUUCCUCUCUCUGCUAUGCCGCCAUGCCCGUGUGCUCAUGCAUGGACAUCAGCGUCUCGGAUUCACGACGCAUUUUCUUUGCUGACGAACCGUGUUAAAUUGUUACUAGGGCUGCGACGGGUCGCUGCUGCUGGACACAGUCCCCGGGAUGCAGUCGGAGAAGGAGUCGCCGCCCAACAACGCCUCGGCGCGCGGGUUCGAGGUCGUGGACGCCGCCAAGGCGGCGCUGGAGGCCGCCUGCCCCGGUGUCGUCUCCUGCGCCGACAUCCUCGCCAUCGCCGCAGAGAUCUCCGUCGAGCUGGUACGUCCUACUACUGCACAGAAUAUUUGUGAUCAACGUAUAGUAGGGUGGUAGGUGCAACGUCGCAGUGAACGUACGGGCAGGCAUCUCGAUUGAUGAUCAUCUGUCAAUAACAUGCAUGCCAUAAUAGCUUCAUCGAUUACCAUCGUACGUCUUGUUUCGAAGGAACGAUUUGAUGGACGUGUCGGUGCGUGCAUGUAAAGUACAAUUUUAUUCGUAUUUGUAGUUAUCAUGCUAGAUGCUACAGCUUAAGUGCUAAUGUAGUUUCUUACGUAUACACUUGUAAAGUACGACUUUACACGUACACUUGUAGCCAUCAAACUAGAUGAUAAAGCUUAAGUGCUAUACGGUAGCAAGGUUCUUGUUUGGUUAUUUUUUUGCGUAUACUUGUAGCUACCAAACUACAUAACAAACCAUGAUUAAUGGACAAUCAGUCUGCUGAUUGUUUGGUUAUUUUUACUAGCUAUUCUGAUAAACUAAUUAGAACGUGAAAAGUUUUGGCAAAGAAUCUACGUAGAACAGCGAGGGCACAUAUGACUUACGAUUCACAUGCAUGAUCGCAAAACGACGAUGAACACGGAUCGGUUGGUAAACUUAGCAAACAUAAUAAUGCACACGCCCAUGCCAUCACAUGCAGUCAGGAGGACCCAGUUGGGGUGUCCUUCUGGGAAGGCUGGACGGCAAGACCUCCGACUUCAACGGGUCCCUGGAUCUUCCGGCGCCCACCGACAACCUCACCGUACUUCAGCAGAAGUUCAGUAACCUCAGCCUCAACGACGUCGACCUUGUCGCCCUCUCAGGUACAGAUAAUUCACCUCUCUGCAGCAUACGUUUAUCAUCUUCGAUACUGUUACCUUAACCUGAGCUGAUAAACUAGUCUCUCUUGACCACAGGGGGGCACACGUUCGGCCGGGUACAAUGCCAGUUCGUCACGGACCGGCUCUACAACUUCAGCGGCACCAACAUGCCGGACCCGACCCUGGACUCGGCUUACCGAGCGUUCCUAUCGCAGAGGUGCCCGAGGAAUGGCAACGGUUCGGUCUUGAACGACCUCGACCCGACGACACCGGACACCUUCGACAACAACUACUACACCAACAUCGAGGUGAACCGGGGUAUCCUCAACUCCGACCAGGAGCUCAAGUCGUCGCCCCAGGCGCAGGGCACCACGGCACCCAUCGUCGACCAGUUUGCGAGCAGCCAGGACGCCUUCUUUGCGAGCUUUGCACAGUCCAUGAUCAACAUGGGGAACAUUAGGCCCCUGACGGACCCAUCCGUAGGUGAGGUCCGU
rnacentral:lncRNA from 1 species